AAUUUAAAGUCUAAUCUGCCCACUGAUUAUAAAAAAUUAAAGGGCUGCAGUAUAUUGACUGUACAAAGGUAGCAUAAUCAUUAGUCUUUUAAUUGAAGACUUGUAUGAAAGAUUUGAUGAAAUAUAAACUGUCUCUAAUUUAAUAAUAAAAAUUAAUUUUUUAGUUAAAAAGCUAAAAUUUAUUUAAAAGACGAGAAGACCCUAUAGAGUUUUAUAAUAAUAGUAAUUAAAAUUAAAUAUAUAAUUAUAAAUUAAAAUUUUUAUUAUUAUUUUGUUGGGGUGACAGAAAAAUUAAUAAAACUUUUUUUAUAAUAUUACAUAAAUAAGUGAAUUAAUGAUCCAUUUAUAAUGAUUAAAAGAAAAAAUUACCUUAGGGAUAACAGCGUAAUUUUUUUUUUUAGUACAAAUAAAAAAAAAAGGUUGCGACCUCGAUGUUGGAUUAAGAUAAAAAUUAAAUGCAAAAGUUUAAAAUUUUGAUCUGUUCGAUCAUUAAAAUCUUACAUG
rnacentral:rRNA from 1 species